rnacentral:rRNA from 1 species
CGGGACACGUGGUAUCCUGUCUGAAUAUGGGGGGACCAUCCUCCAAGGCUAAAUACUCCUGACUGACCGAUAGUGAACCAGUACCGUGAGGGAAAGGCGAAAAGAACCCCGGCGAGGGGAGUGAAAAAGAACCUGAAACCGUGUACGUACAAGCAGUGGGAGCACGCUUAGGCGUGUGACUGCGUACCUUUUGUAUAAUGGGUCAGCGACUUAUAUUCUGUAGCAAGGUUAACCGAAUAGGGGAGCCGAAGGGAAACCGAGUCUUAACUGGGCGUUAAGUUGCAGGGUAUAGACCCGAAACCCGGUGAUCUAGCCAUGGGCAGGUUGAAGGUUGGGUAACACUAACUGGAGGACCGAACCGACUAAUGUUGAAAAAUUAGCGGAUGACUUGUGGCUGGGGGUGAAAGGCCAAUCAAACCGGGAGAUAGCUGGUUCUCCCCGAAAGCUAUUUAGGUAGCGCCUCGUGAAUUCAUCUCCGGGGGUAGAGCACUGUUUCGGCAAGGGGGUCAUCCCGACUUACCAACCCGAUGCAAACUGCGAAUACCGGAGAAUGUUAUCACGGGAGACACACGGCGGGUGCUAACGUCCGUCGUGAAGAGGGAAACAACCCAGACCGCCAGCUAAGGUCCCAAAGUCAUGGUUAAGUGGGAAACGAUGUGGGAAGGCCCAGACAGCCAGGAUGUUGGCUUAGAAGCAGCCAUCAUUUAAAGAAAGCGUAAUAGCUCACUGGUCGAGUCGGCCUGCGCGGAAGAUGUAACGGGGCUAAACCAUGCACCGAAGCUGCGGCAGCGACACUAUGUGUUGUUGGGUAGGGGAGCGUUCUGUAAGCCUGUGAAGGUGUACUGUGAGGUAUGCUGGAGGUAUCAGAAGUGCGAAUGCUGACAUAAGUAACGAUAAAGCGGGUGAAAAGCCCGCUCGCCGGAAGACCAAGGGUUCCUGUCCAACGUUAAUCGGGGCAGGGUGAGUCGACCCCUAA